UGGUCUUGUUGAACAUCAGGGGAAUUCUUGACCUUCUCAUUUGUCAACCUCUUCCCUAGGCAUUGGCCUAGUGGUUAAAGUGUUAGUUCGGCGCGCCGAAGGCCCGGGUUCGAUUCUCCACAGAAUUUGAGGUAAGGAUUGUUGUGUAACGAGAAGUGACGACGGAUGUGUUUGCUGCAGCUGGGGAUUUGAGUUCUGCCCGUCAACAAUACUUCAAAGUCAUGAACUCGGACAUCGAAGACUCGGUCCACAGCACCGGACAUCGGCUCGUCAUACAUGUGGAUUACUGCUACGUGUGACCGGACUACAGCCAGAUGUUCACGGAGCUGAAGCUGGCUGUGUUGUCGAAGUUCCCGACAGCUGACGUCUCCGGGACCUACUCCGUUAAAGAUUCUUUUGAAGUCUUCUCGAAUGGCUACCUGAUACACUCAAAGCUGGAGAUGGGAAGCAUGCCACAGAUCAAACAGGUGAUGGCCGAUAUUGAAGCAGAUAGUCAUGGAGAUUCCAACAAAUAUGGAAAGAAGUCAUCACUGUGUGCAAUUUUGUAACAUUACCUUCAUCCGAAUCCUGUCUGUGAUAUUUCUCACACGAAGUUGUGCAUUUAGAUCUGAACAAUGAAUAAAAGAAACCCAUCUAAAGAUAACCAACAUCGCCCAUCGAUUCCCAUGGACUGAAAUGUCGAUGGUGUCGGACAAUCGUAAGUCCGAAUUGGUGGAGAUGAUUAAGAAAGCAUCAAGUCUGCAACCAGAUGUCAUUUUCACCCCCCACAGAUGUUCUAUCAUCAACAAGAUUGUUUCGUGCUGCUGUGCUUGAGAAUGGGCUUAAGAAGUCUAGAUGACGGAGCAUCUCCAAAUGCGUGGCUGAGAUGAUCUUGACGGAGACUUCCUCACAGCACCAGGAAACACUUAGCCUUACUUCAUUCUAGACUUUCAAUGGCUUUUUGUCCAAAGUGGAAUUUAUCGUGUACAACUCUUUAUAUAAAGUAUCCAGGGAAAAACGUA
rnacentral:lncRNA from 1 species